rnacentral:misc_RNA from 1 species
GAUGAAGAACGCAGUGAAAUGCGAUACGUAGUGUGAAUUGCAGAAUUCCGUGAACCAUCAAAUCUUUGAACGCAUAUUGCGCUCGAGGCUUCGGCCGAGAGCAUGUCUGCCUCAGCGUCGGUAUUACCCCUCGCUUCUCAACCCCUGGUUGAUGCCUGCCUGCCUUUGCAGUUGGCUAGAAGCGGAUCUGGCUUUCCCAAUUGCCUUUGGUAGUUGGGUCAGCUGAAGCACAGAGGCUUGAGCAAGGACCCUUAUUGGGCUUCAACUGGAUAGGUAGAACUGGUCUUAGGACCAACUACACGAAGUUGUUGCUUGUGGUCUUUUGUCUGGAGGCCAGCAGGAAACCUUUAUACCUUCGACCUGAGCUCAGGCAAGAUUACCCGCUGAACUUAAGCAUAUCAAUAAGCGGAGGA